CGGAGGGUGCAAGCGUUAUCCGGAUUUAUGGGUUUAAAGGGUCCGUAGGCGGAUCCGUAAGUCAGUGGUGAAAUCUCACAGCUUAACUGUGAAACUGCCAUUGAUACUGCGGGUCUUGAGUAAGGUAGAAGUGGCUGGAAUAAGUAGUGUAGUGGUGAAAUGCAUAGAUAUUACUUAGAACACCAAUUGCGAAGGCAGGCCACUAUGUCUUAACUGACGCUGAUGGACGAAAGCGUGGGGAGCGGACAGGAUUAGAUACCCUGGUAGUCCACGCCGUAAACGAUGCUAACUCGUUUUUGGGCUUUCGGGUUCAGAGACUAAGCGAAAGUGAUAAGUUAGCCACCUGGGGAGUACGUUCGCAAGAAUG
rnacentral:rRNA from 1 species